rnacentral:lncRNA from 1 species
GUAAAUAUGAGGUAAGGCAUGUUUUUAUUUUUGUUUCAAAUUGAUUUUCGACUUGAAUAAAAAUCUUUGGAAGAGUUUUGCAACCUCAGAUUUAGAGUUCUUUAGAUAAAGGCAGCAUAUGCGUGUGUGAUCGUUAAUAAACAUCAGAAUGACUACCUGAUGGUCCUGAUUGAGCUAGAGAUACUAUAGGAAUAUCAAGAGUUGGCAAAGCGGGGUUCAACAAUUGUAGAAGUUGGUAUAACGACAUUGAGUAUGGUUUGUAAAUCAUGGUAUAUUUUCGCACACAAUACAAUGAUGUUAUAAUAAUUCUAGUAACAUUGUCACUUUCACUCAUCUAUUUCCAUGCCUGUCUGGGUCGUCCAUAUACU